UCGCCCAGCCAUACCACCCUGCAGCCCAAGAGCGGCUACUCACUGAAGCUAAGCAGGGCUGAGCCUGGUCAGUGCCUGGAUAGGAGACCACAUGGGAACACUAGGUUGCUGUUAC
rnacentral:rRNA from 1 species